rnacentral:rRNA from 1 species
GCCAGAUAGUCAAACAGCCCCAGCGUCACGCCAAGGAAGGAACUGGCGACCGCAAAGUUAGAGAACACCACCAGCAGCAGAUCCAGGCUGCGCCGGUAAGGUGAUAUGAACCGUUAUAACCGGCGAUACCCGAAUGGGGAAACCCAGUGUGACUCGUCACACUAUCAUUAACUGAAUCCAUAGGUUAAUGAGGCGAACCGGGGGAACUGAAACAUC